UCGCGCUACGUUUAGAGCGAGAGAAAGAGGGAGAGAAUUCAGACUUUUAUUGUGACUCCGUAGUAGGCCACAGCACAACAGAAUAUUUAGUUGUUGUGUGCGAAUUAGUUGUUUAUCGAUUUGAUACAUAAUAUUUGACUGCGAGUUUUGGUUGCAGUUCUGAAAUCGGGGAGUGUCGUGGCGGGUGGAAAUCAGGUUUGAGGAAUCAGUGGGAUGUGUUGAUCUGUUCAUGAGCGCAGCGCAUUCUUCCGAAAGAAGGCUGCACCUCACCAACCCAUAACAGCACGUUUAACCGCGGAGCUAAGAUGAAACCACUCCUGUUCCGGCUCUGGGAGACUGGGCUAGCUCUCUCUCUGCUCUACUCCACUGCACAGUGUGGAGCGACCCAGAGCCAGACCCAGGGUGCCGUGUUCCUGCCUGAGUUUGCUCUGUCCCCUCAGGGAAGUUUCCUGGAGGACGCUACCGAGGACCAGUUCCUUACCUACAGAUAUGACGACCAGGGUCCAAUGUGAUCACUCUGCCAGACCAUGAAAUACAUUACACCUGACCCAACUAAACCUCACUCUACCAGACCAGACCAUGAAAUACAUUACUGUCACGCCCUGGCCUUAGUUAGAGCUGCCCAUCUGUCCCGAGCCGUCAGAGCUGCCCGUCUGUCCCGAGCCGUCAGA